rnacentral:misc_RNA from 1 species
AAUGUUCUGAACAAUUUCUUGAGGCAAGAAUUGGCAGGGACUCCCUUUUGGCUGUCAUUCCAGAUCCAGUGACAUGUUUUUCAACUGCAAGAUACUCUCAAAAGCAAGUCUUUAGAGUGCUUUCAGACUCAAAUUUAGUAAUUGUUGAUUGGAUUACCAGUGGACGUCAUGAAAGUGGAGAAAAAUGGGAUUUUGAUCUUUAUAAGAGCACCAACAACAUUUUCUUGGAUCAUGAUCAGCCUUUGUUCCUUGAUACCGUAUUGCUAGAGCAAGGAAACAUUGCUGCUAUCACAGAACGCAUGCGUGACUACCAAGUUAUUGCAAUGGUUAUAAUCUUGGGGCCAAAGCUGAAGCACAUUCAAACUCAAGUUCAAGAACAUGUGAAAAUGAUAAUGUCUGAGCAAUUGCACGUGCCUUUUGUUGGCUUACGUGGCCAUAUAAAAUCAAAUUCUAGUAUUUGCUUCACCAAACCACCAUUUAUUGCAUCUUGCAGCUUAUUUGGUCCUAAGGGAAUGGGCAUUGUUGUUAGAAUUGCUGCCAUGACCACUGAAUCAGUGUACAAGUUCUUACGGCAGCAGCUGGCUAGUAUGGAGCUCCUAAUUGGGGUUUUACCAUAUCGAUGAUCAAGCCUGUUGAUCGUUUUCUGUCACAGUUUACAGGGAUGUUCCAUAACUCAGUGGACCUUUGAAUGAUAGUGUUAGUGAA